rnacentral:misc_RNA from 1 species
UUUUCUUUUUUCUUUUUCUUUUUCUACAAAUCAAAGAAUUUCAUUAUAUGAUACACCAGAGAGAAUAAUAGAAAGAAAGAACAAAACAGAUUGAGAAAGUGAAUAGAACUUUUAUUUUUCUUAGUAAUUUCCAAAGUUAUUGAUAAGUUUUAAGUCAGUAAUAUUAGAAUGGUAGCUGUGAUAUAUCAAGUUUGAAUACCAAUAAGAUACAAUUGUACUAAAAAAAUAAUAAUUUCCAAAGCCAUCACUGUAUGGGAUGCAAUGGUAGUAAAGAGAAAAGAGUUUAUUUUUGACUUAUUCAAUAAUUUCAAAAGCAAGGUAUUGUUGGCCAUACUCAACUAAGUUGUCCUUACAUAUGUUCUUCCCCAAGAAAAUAUUCCUCACAUGGGUCAAAUUUUGCAGAUCAAUUAUUAUUCUUUUUCAACUACCUAUCUUGUUUCUAACGCACCACCAGCCUGCUAGUACCACCACAAAAAAUAUUUUUUAAAUAUAUUA